GGCGACAUGGCCGAGCGGUCUAAGGCGCUAGAAUCAGGUCGUUGUACACUGACUGCUCAUCUAGUCUUUCGGGGCGUGAGUUCGAAUCUCACUGUCGUCA
rnacentral:tRNA from 1 species